CAGGCCUAACACAUGCAAGUCGAACGGUAACAGGAAGCAGCUUGCUGCUUCGCUGACGAGUGGCGGACGGGUGAGUAAUGUCUGGGAAACUGCCUGAUGGAGGGGGAUAACUACUGGAAACGGUAGCUAAUACCGCAUAACGUCGCAAGACCAAAGAGGGGGACCUUCGGGCCUCUUGCCAUCGGAUGUGCCCAGAUGGGAUUAGCUAGUACGUGGGGUAACGGCUCACCUAGGCGACGAUCCCUAGCUGGUCUGAGAGGAUGACCAGCCACACUGGAACUGAGACACGGUCCAGACUCCUACGGGAGGCAGCAGUGGGGAAUAUUGCACAAUGGGCGCAAGCCUGAUGCAGCCAUGCCGCGUGUAUGAAGAAGGCCUUCGGGUUGUAAAGUACUUUCAGCGGGGAGGAAGGCGACAGGGUUAAUAACCCUGUCGAUUGACGUUACCCGCAGAAGAAGCACCGGCUAACUCCGUGCCAGCAGCCGCGGUAAUACGGAGGGUGCAAGCGUUAAUCGGAAUUACUGGGCGUAAAGCGCACGCAGGCGGUCUGUCAAGUCGGAUGUGAAAUCCCCGGGCUCAACCUGGGAACUGCAUUCGAAACUGGCAGGCUAGAGUCUUGUAGAGGGGGGUAGAAUUCCAGGUGUAGCGGUGAAAUGCGUAGAGAUCUGGAGGAAUACCGGUGGCGAAGGCGGCCCCCUGGACAAAGACUGACGCUCAGGUGCGAAAGCGUGGGG
rnacentral:rRNA from 1 species